rnacentral:rRNA from 1 species
UAGGGAAUCUUCGGCAAUGGGGGGAACCCUGACCGAGCAACGCCGCGUGAGUGAAGAAGGUUUUCGGAUCGUAAAGCUCUGUUGUUAAGGAAGAACGAGUGUGAGAAUGGAGAGUUCAUGCUGUGACGGUACUUAACCAGAAAGGGACGGCUAACUACGUGCCAGCAGCCGCGGUAAUACGUAGGUCCCGAGCGUUGUCCGGAUUUAUUGGGCGUAAAGCGAGCGCAGGCGGUUAGAAAAGUCUGAAGUGAAAGGCAGUGGCUCAACCAUUGUAGGCUUUGGAAACUGUUUAACUUGAGUGCAGAAGGGGAGAGUGGAAUUCCAUGUGUAGCGGUGAAAUGCGUAGAUAUAUGGAGGAACACCGGUGGCGAAAGCGGCUCUCUGGUCUGUAACUGACGCUGAGGCUCGAAAGCGUGGGGAGCGAACAGG